rnacentral:rRNA from 1 species
GCCCAGACCUACAGCUAAGGUCCCAAAGUACGUGUUAAGUGGAAAAGGAUGUGGGGAUUCUAAGACAACUAGGACGUUGGCUUAGAAGCAGCCAUUCAUUGAAAGAGUGCGUAAUAGCUCACUAGUCGAGAGUCCCUGCGCCGAAAAUGUCCGGGGCUGAAACACGACACCGAAGCUUAGGAAUGUGUAAACAUUGGUAGAGGAGCAUUGCUAGCGGGAUGAAGCCAUACCGUAAGGAGUGGUGGACUGCUAGGAAGAGAGAAUGCCGGAAUGAGUAGCGAGAUGAAGGUGAGAAUCCUUCAGGCCGAAUAUCUAAGGUUUCCAGAGUAAAGCUGAUCUGCUCUGGGUAAGUCGGGACCUAAGGCGAGGUCGAAAGACGUAGUCGAUGGAUAACAGGUUGAAAUUCCUGUACCGCAUAUAAACAGAACUGUGGGGACACAGACAGGGAAUGGAAUCCGGGAAUGGAAAUCCCGGUGCAAGCGAGGUAGGAGUGCUGUUGGCAAAUCCGCAGCACGAUCUGAAGACGUGACGCGUACCGAACAUAAGUAGGGAAGUCCAGGCCCCUGGCUGUCAAGAAAAGCCGCUAUUGUUUUAUAUGUGCCCGUACCGCAAACCGACACAGGUGGAUGAGGAGAGAAUCCUAAGGCCGACGGGAGAAGUAUUGUUAAGGAACUCGGCAAAAUGACUCCGUAACUUCGGGAGAAGGAGUGCCAUGAGAGUGGCCGCAGAGAAAUGGCCCAAGCAACUGUUUAGCAAAAACACAGGUCUAUGCAAAACCGCAAGGUGAAGUAUAUGGGCUGACGCCUGCCCGGUGCUGGAAGGUUAAGGGGAGAGGUUAGCGCAAGCGAAGCUUUGAACUUAAGCCCCAGUAAACGGCGGCCGUAACUAUAACGGUCCUAAGGUAGCGAAAUUCCUUGUCGGGUAAGUUCCGACCCGCACGAAAGGCGUAAUGAUUUGGGCACUGUCUCAACGAUACACCCGGUGAAAUUGAAAUACCAGUGAAGAUGCUGGUUACCUGCGCCAGGACGGAAAGACCCCAUGGAGCUUUACUCCAGUUUGAUACUGGGAUUCGGCAUGGUAUGUACAGGAUAGGUGGGAGACUGAGAAGGUAUGACGUCAGUUGUACCGGAGUCGCUGUUGGGAUACCACCCUUACCAUGUUGGAUUUCUAACCUGUGGCCGUAAGCCGGUCAGGGGACAAUGUCAGGCGGGGAGUUUGACUGGGGCGGUCGCCUCCGAAAGGGUAUCGGAGGCGCUCAAAGGUUCCCUCAGAAUGGUUGGAAACCAUUCGAAGAGUGCAAAGGCAGAAGGGAGCUUGACUGCGACACCGACGGGUGGAGCAGGU